UACGUAGGGGGCAAGCGUUGUUCGGAAUUACUGGGCGUAAAGGGCCAGUAGGCGGCCAACUAAGUCCGACGUGAAAUCCCCAGGCUUAACCUGGGAACUGCGUCGGAUACUGGAUGGCUUGAAUUCGGGAGAGGGAUGCGGAAUUCCAGGUGUAGCGGUGAAAUGCGUAGAGAUGUGGAGGAACACCAGUGGCGAAGGCGACUCUUUGGCCUGUAACUGACGCUGAGGCGCGAAAGCGUGGGGAGCAAACAGG
rnacentral:rRNA from 1 species